AGGCCGGGACUGGCUGUGUGGUGCUCACGCCUGCCAGCCGGCCGGUGUUUGUAGCAUAGUGCAUUGAUGGAAGUUUUGAAAUGCAAGACUUCUACCAAAGAAACUGCGGCAGGAAUCAAUAUUUAAGAGAUCGGUGAGGAAAGACGGUGGAAGUUUUGCCUGCUUCCUUGAAAGCAGCGUCUGGCUCCCUGGCAGACUGUGUUGCUAACGCAUUUCCUUGGCACGUGCAGUGAAUUGAUUCCUCCUUGUGACUUGCCCGAUAUAGCAAUGGGAGAGUACAGCGAUUCGGCUGAGGCACAGACACAUGUCGUGUCCCCCCCUUAGGAAACCCCAGGGAUGUGCCUGGAUCUCUGAGGUCCUGCUUACACAGCCUGGACUGGUGAAGGACCUGCCCCUUCGGGGUACCCAGCUGUUGGGGCUGGCUGGAUCUCGGCGUGCAGCCACCCUCCUGGAAGGAUGGGGCUGAGGGGCAGGGGGGGAUCUGGCUCUCGUUUAACAGCCCCGCGCUCUGUUACUGCCGACAGCUUGUGCGAGGAAGCAGAAGGAAGUGCGAAAACGCCGGUAGUGUUAAAUCCAGUAUGGACUAUAUGCAACAUCAUGGUGACAGGUGCUUUCUGUCCUCUGGUCUCCUGCAAUCAUCGAAGAUUUUUUCAGUCUCCUCCUACACGCCACUCCCCCACCCCCCACUGCCAUGUAUCCUGAGCAUAUUACAGUCUUCCUUUCCUCUCUCAGGAGGUACGGCUCAGAGCUCUCGGCUAACGCUGUACCUUUCUAAGGAGAAAAUCCUGCGUCCUGCCUUUGAGCUUAAAGAAUUAAAGAACGAAACAGCUCAGAGUAAUCACCCAAGACGAAAAAGACCUGCUGCCCUUCCUGCUCGACAACCGGCACUUGUUCCAGGCAGAGCCGUGCCUUGGGGACCGAGCAGCUGUGCUGACCAUGAGCGAGCAGAGUCACGUCAACAGCCUGUUCCUCAACGAGGACGCAGCCAAGAGGCUCAAUGCAGAGAGCCGGGUCCAGCGCCUUCGGCAGGCGGUGCAGAAACGGGCAGCGCGGGCCAAGAAGCGGAUGCACAGCAUCACUGCUGACAGCGCUAAAAGCUUCUUCAGGAGAAAUGCCUUUGUCCUCUUCACCAUUGCUGCAGUCUUACUAGGAAUCAUCCUGGCGUUUUCCCUCCGGCCCUACCAGCUGACCUAUCGCCAGAUCAAGUAUUUCUCCUUCCCCGGCGAGCUCCUGAUGCGUAUGCUUCAGAUGUUGGUUCUUCCUCUCAUUGUCUCUAGCUUGAUUACAGGGAUGGCCUCGCUGGAUGGCAGAGCCUCAGGGAAGAUGGGGAUGCGGGCUGUUGUCUACUACAUGGUGACCACAAUCAUAGCAGUCUUCAUUGGCAUCCUAAUGGUGAUCAUCAUCCACCCAGGAAAAGGAUCUAAGGACAAGCUUCACCGAGAAGGCAGAAUUGAGCAGGUGCAGACCACAGAUGCCUUCAUGGACUUGGUGAGGAAUAUGUUCCCGCCCAACCUGGUAGAAGCCUGCUUCAAACAGUACAAGACGCAGUACAGCACCAGGGUCUUCACCAGAACUGUCCUCCGCAGCAGCAAUGUCACAGCAGGUGUGACAACCACUCAGAUCCCUGUGCCUGAGAACUUCACCGGCAUCCUGGAGAACGUCACUCAUGCCCUGGGGACCGUCUCCGAGGUGCUGACCUUUGAAGAAGUCAUUCCCAUCCCGGGCUCAGCCAAUGGGGUGAACGCACUGGGGCUGGUAGUGUUCUCCAUGUGCUUCGGUUUGGUGAUCGGCAGCAUGAAGCAGAAGGGACGGGCCCUGCGGGAGUUCUUUAACUGCCUCAACGAAGCCAUCAUGAGGCUGGUGGCCAUUAUCAUCUGGUAUGCUCCAGUUGGGAUCAUGUUUUUAAUUGCUGGCAAAAUCUUGGAGAUGGAUGACCUAGCAGUGAUGGGAGGCCAGCUGGGGAUGUACACGCUCACCGUCAUCGUUGGACUCCUCAUUCAUGCCCUCUGCAUCCUGCCACUGCUCUACUUCAUCGUCACUCACAGAAACCCCUGGGUAUUCAUCGCAGGGCUUCUGCAGGCCCUCAUCACAGCCCUGGGCACCUCCUCAAGCUCAGCGACUCUGCCCAUCACCUUCAGGUGCCUGGAAGAAAACAAUGGUGUGGACAGGCGCAUCACGAGGUUUGUUCUGCCCGUGGGAGCUACAAUUAACAUGGAUGGCACUGCUCUGUAUGAGGCCCUUGCAGCCAUCUUCAUUGCACAAGUCAACAACUAUGAACUUGACUUCGGGCAGAUCAUCACAAUAAGCAUCACUGCCACGGCAGCCAGCAUCGGAGCCGCGGGUAUUCCCCAGGCAGGACUAGUGACUAUGGUUAUAGUGUUGACAUCAGUGGGGCUGCCUACUGAAGACAUUACGCUGAUCAUCGCUGUGGACUGGUUUCUGGACCGCCUUAGAACGACCACCAAUGUCUUGGGGGAUUCUCUGGGGGCUGGCAUUGUGGAGCAUCUUUCCCGGCAUGAGCUGGAUGCGCAGGACUGCGAACUUGGUAAUUCUGUGAUAGAGGAGAAAGAGCAGCUCUCCCACCUGGUUUGCCCACAGAACGACACCCACAGGCACCCCAGGAGCGAGACAGCACUGUGAAAUCGGGCAGCAGAGUGCAGAUUAAUGCUGUAAAAAGCCAAGACUUGAAACAGCAAGUCCAUAGUGGAGAACAGAGAAAUACCCACUCUCCAAGAUGCACACUUUUCUCCCCUCUCUUCCACAUGCAGUCUUCCCUGGUCCCACUUCUCCCCCACCUCUUUUUGACUGACAUUAAAGAGGAGAAAAUUAAACAGCAAAGAAGUUUUAUUCCACAAAAGCCUGAUUUAGUCAUUCUUACGAGGUCCAAAAGUUAGACCCAAGUAAAGAAGACUCAGUGAACGAGCUGGAAUAGGAUCUCCUUCAUUUCUGAGCUAAACCGAGAGCACAGCUAAGUGGCAAGGUGGGUCGGGGACACCACCACCUGCGGACUGGCACCAAAAUGUUGCCAUGAUGACUCCACCCAGCAGGAUACAGCUGCAAAGCCUUCACUCGGUCAGUGCCUUCCCCCGAGCAUGUAAAGCUUUUAGCUUUGGCCGUUUGGAGAUCUCUGGAGAGCCCCAGCACUCCUGUCCAGCUUUUCACUGGCAAGAGUGAUUAUGAUAAACGCAGUGUCCUCCUUGCUCGCGGUCCUGGUGUUUGCACGGAUACGCAGAUGAUGCUUCCUGAGAGCUUCUCACUCUGGCAACCCUUCUGGCUGCAGAUACCAAUGUCACCCAGCUCCUGAAGGAAUGUGGGACCAUACAGCAGGGCCAGGGCUUACUGGGCUGGCUGGUAGCACUAAUAGAGGUCAACAGGCUUUUUGUUAGUUGAAGAUGCUAAAGGAUUGUGAAAGCAGUGAACAAUUAAAGAAUUUAUUAUAUCCGUUAUUCAGCCUCUGAAACAGCUCUCCCCUCUGCCAAGCUCUGGCGAACACCAGUUAACUUCAUUUCUCUUUAGCAAGCUGUUCUCCUCUUGGUGAAACCAGAAGGGGAAACAAAGAUUAAACAGUUUGCCCACCUGAGCAGCUGGGCGGUACCUCCAUGCCAGGAAUGACUCCACCACCCCAGAUUUGCUCAGAAAACAGUUUCACUCCUCAUCAUAAGACUCCGAAGGAAACUGUUCCUUUGCUCAUCUUUGGCUAUUUUCAGACGUGACUUCCCUUCAGUCACGUUGCUCCAGACUGUGCUUCAAAAUGUCUCUGUCUUUCUACAGCUCCUAUCUUUCCUAGGCAGUACCCAAUCACAUCCCCAACACUUGCCAGACCCCAAACUUAUAAAUUCAGGAUAAAUUUCUCAGAGCUCAGCUUCUGUUUAACACACUUGGACAUAAGCCCACACAACAUCCAAAACAUCUCAGAGGCUCAAGCAAGAAGCAGGGACCUGCUUCAUCUGUGCUUUAUCCCCCUUCCCUGGCGUGGCCGGGAACACAGCCUGUAUCUCUCGCUCCAGCGAACAGGACCAGCAGGGCUUGCUCCAUAAUAUCCAGGUCUACGAACAUCCAGAAAACGAAUGUCUAGAUACAAUCAGGAAGACGGAAAGGAUACGCAGUUUUUCGCCUACUGCAGCGUAGCUGUCCUGCUUUAGAAACGGCUCGGCCCAGAAGAGCAGCAGCACACCCGAACUAUCUAAAAUGGGCAGCUUUUACUUGAGGUCUUCUCAUUAUUCCAGACCCCGUAUAUCACUUAAACCCCUCUACCCUGGCUUUCCACACUGAUCCUUUUCACCCAGGAGUCCUAGCCUUACAGUCAGGGGUGCACCUAAGUGGACCUCAGGAAGGAAGACCUGAGAGGCACCAGCUGGAGUCAACUUUGCCAACCACCACCGCGCAACUGCCCGUGCUUAGCUCCCCAGCACUAACAAAACUUCCUAAAAUACAGUUCUUGACAUGUCCAAAGCCAGAUCCUGAGGCUCUUUUAGUCCUUCGGGAACUGUAGGAUUAUAUGUUGGUGCUGCCACAUUCCACAUCCUGUGGGCAGAGUAUUCUGGUUUUAUGGGCUGGAGGAUUGUUGGGAAUCUGAGAGAAAUGGACAAAUGCAUCUCUUUGACAUAAAAGCGGGUAACAGAGCAGGGUAAACCGAAGUGUUCCAUUUAGCAGUGGUUGGCCCCAGGCCCCAAGGCAGCAGGCUGUUUCCUGACUGUGGGAGGCAGGUUGCUUAUUCUGACACGAGAUCUGCUCUAGCAGGGGGCAAACUAAACAGACCCAGUAUGCCCUCACAGACUAUUUGUCCAACUUCUCAAGAAAGCAUUGAAUUCUAAUCCUGAAGAGACUUCCUGUAUAUAACGGGCAAACUGAUGGAUGAAUUGGAAGAAAAGAUUGUUGGAUUGGACUCUAGCUCAAAUGCGAAUUAAUUCGGGGAAGUCCUAUGGCUUGAGUUAUACAGAGAGUCAAACUAGAUGAUCAUAAGGGUCCCUUCUGGCUUUAUAAUAUAUGCACGUGCUUUCUGGUUUAGAGAUAUUGCAAAGGGUCCUUCCAGCCCAAUCAUUUUCAAAAGCUAUCUGGAAGGAUCCUAAUGAUACUUUAAUAAAACUCAGCAGGCGUCUGACCUGUUUUCAGUUCUUGUUAGCAGACAUGUAAACAUAUCACAAAAGGGGCUCUCCAUACCUCAUCGCAUCAACGUGAUCUCAGAUGUUCCCACAAAGUAGUACGCUCCAAGCCUUGCCAUUUGUGAUUUCCUGCUUUCGACACGAGAUUAAUGGAGCACAAACCAGUAGAGGCCUCAUUUCCAAAUACUGCAAGCCAGUCUCCCACGGGGAAUUUCAAAAUUCAGCUGAUUGAUAGUUCCUAGCUCUGGUGUUUACCCAUGUUGUUAACCAAUUUAUGAUUGGGAUUAUCUAUCUGUUUACACUAUCUGAAUAGUAAAGUAUUGUCAGGAAUUUGCAUAUAUAUAUAUACACACCUCUCCAUAUAUAUAUAUAUAUAUAUGAAAGGGGUGCAUGUGCACAAACAUACAUAUACACAGAGUUAUUUUUUUUGUUGCUAAUCCAAGAAGGAAAGGCAACACUAAACUCUCACUCUGUAAAGCUGCGUACUUCAUUUUGAUGCCCACCUUGAUUUACCCAACUAAUCCCGCCCUCAAAAUAACAGAGGCCGUUUUACUUCGUUCCAGUAAUGAGUCUUCCAAAGCAAGGUUUACCAGGAAGGAGCUCAGUGCACGCUGAUUUUGAGUUGUACCUGCUGGUGACGUGAUGAGAACUUGUCGAUGUAUAGAGAGUGUAUAUAUCUCCACUUCGUCUUUGACUUCCCUGCGCAUAUCCCAAGGACCCACAUCCCCUCUGCAUCUGACUUUAGGAGCUCAGCCAAGAAUACAAAAGUGUCUGUACUCCUUCCAAACCCAAUGCUGACCUUGUACUAACUCAGCCUUCAAAACUGGAUAACAGAAAGUAUGAAAUAAUUUUAUCAACUCUCUUUUUAAAUUAUCAGGUAUUCGAGUUUGUGCAGUCUUUACUGCGGUCCCGCUGCUUCUACUUGCAGAAACUUUCUGAGUUUCUCCUAUUUGCAAACAGAUUUAUUCCUAAUGAUUAGAUGGGCAACAUUUGGGAUGAAACACAGAGCUGUCUCAAUGCAUACAUACAUGAGGAGCUCUUGGAUUAGGACACAUCUCUUCAAAAUUAAUUUUAAGAGAGAAAAUCCAUGGAGAAUACGGAUUUUCAGAUGAUAGGCCAUGUGUCACUUUAUGUGUGUGAUGCGUGCACGUUGUUUCAGGAGUCAGAUCUGCCCACGAAAACUGCCCUGAAAUUGUGUGUCCUUCUUCUGCUCUGCCCCAGAAAGAAAGAGGCAAUUGGAACUCGGCGCUGUACGGCGUGUUCAUAGCAUUCUGGCAGUUUGACUAUGUUAAUUCCUGAGGGCUUUUUCUUCAUGCUGUGAGUUUCAGUGUUAAUAAAGAUAGUUUGCAUAUUUGAAAAAUAAAGGGAAU